UGAACCAUCGAGUCUUUGAACGCAAGUUGCGCCCGAAGCCAUUAGGCCGAGGGCACGUCUGGCUGGGUGUCACGC
rnacentral:rRNA from 1 species